rnacentral:rRNA from 1 species
UACGUAGGUGGCAAGCGUUGUCCGGAAUUAUUGGGCGUAAAGCGCGCGCAGGCGGUCCUUUAAGUCUGAUGUGAAAGCCCACGGCUCAACCGUGGAAGGUCAUUGGAAACUGGAGGACUUGAGUACAGAAGAGGAAAGCGGAAUUCCACGUGUAGCGGUGAAAUGCGUAGAGAUGUGGAGGAACACCAGUGGCGAAGGCGACUCUUUGGUCUGUAACUGACGCUGAGGCGCGAAAGCGUGGGGAGCAAACAGG